UGGGCGCAAGCCUGAUCCAGCAAUGCCGCGUGAGUGAAGAAGGCCUUCGGGUUGUAAAGCUCUUUCAGUNGAGAAGAAAAGNUUGUGACUAAUAAUUNCAANUNNUGACGGUAUCAGACAGAAGAAGCACCGGCUAACUACGUGCCAGCAGCCGCGGUAAUACGUAGGGUGCNAGCGUUAAUCGGAAUUACUGGGCGUAAAGGGUGCGCAGGCGGUUCUGUAAGUCAGAUGUGAAAUCCCCGGGCUUAACCUGGGAACUGCGUUUGAAACUACAGAGCUAGAGUGUGGCAGAGGGGGGUGGAAUUCCAUGUGUAGCAGUGAAAUGCGUAGAGAUAUGGAAGAACAUCGAUGGCGAAGGCAGCCCCCUGGGUUAACACUGACGCUCAUGCACGAAAGCGUGGGGAGCAAACAGGAUUAGAUACCCUGGUAGUCCACGCCCUAAACUAUGUCAACUAGUUGUCGGGNCUUAUUAGNCUUGGUAACGUAGCUAACGCGUGAAGUUGACCGCCUGGGGAGUACGGUCGCAAGAUUA
rnacentral:rRNA from 1 species